rnacentral:tRNA from 1 species
UAGCUCAGUUGGCAGAGCGCAAGGCUCUUAACUUUAAGGUUGUGGGUUCGAGCCCCAC